CCUACGGGAGGCAGCAGUGGGGAAUUUUGGACAAUGGGCGCAAGCCUGAUCCAGCCAUGCCGCGUGAGUGAAGAAGGCCUUCGGGUUGUAAAGCUCUUUCAGGUGGAAAGAAAUCGCACUUUCUAAUACAAGGUGUGGAUGACGGUACCAUCAGAAGAAGCACCGGCUAACUACGUGCCAGCAGCCGCGGUAAUACGUAGGGUGCGAGCGUUAAUCGGAAUUACUGGGCGUAAAGCGUGCGCAGGCGGUUAUGUAAGACAGAUGUGAAAUCCCCGGGCUCAACCUGGGAACUGCGUUUGUGACUGCAUAACUAGAGUACGGCAGAGGGAGGUGGAAUUCCGCGUGUAGCAGUGAAAUGCGUAGAGAUGCGGAGGAACACCGAUGGCGAAGGCAGCCUCCUGGGCCAGUACUGACGCUCAUGCACGAAAGCGUGGGGAGCAAACAGGAUUAGAUACCCUGGUAGUCCACGCCCUAAACGAUGUCAACUAGUUGUUCGGUGAGGAGACUCAUUGAGUAACGCAGCUAACGCGUGAAGUUGACCGCCUGGGGAGUACGGCCGCAAGGUUAAAACUCAAAUGAAUUGACGG
rnacentral:rRNA from 1 species